CAACUACUCCCUUUGUCAUAAAUUUCUUGUCUUUGAUUUGUCUAGAUACGGAUGUAUCUAAUACUAAAAUGUGACUCGAUACAUCCAUAUCUAGAUAAAUCUAAGACAAGAAUUUUGGGACGGAGGGAGUACUUU
rfam:Triticum aestivum genome assembly, contig: Triticum_aestivum_CS42_TGACv1_scaffold_576767_7BL